rnacentral:rRNA from 1 species
UACACUCCUACGGGAGGCAGCAGUGGGGAAUAUUGGACAAUGGGCGCAAGCCUGAUCCAGCCAUGCCGCGUGAGUGAUGAAGGCCCUAGGGUUGUAAAGCUCUUUCACCGGUGAAGAUAAUGACGGUAACCGGAGAAGAAGCCCCGGCUAACUUCGUGCCAGCAGCCGCGGUAAUACGAAGGGGGCUAGCGUUGUUCGGAUUUACUGGGCGUAAAGCGCACGUAGGCGGACUAUUAAGUCAGGGGUGAAAUCCCGGGGCUCAACCCCGGAACUGCCUUUGAUACUGGUAGUCUUGAGUUCGAGAGAGGUGAGUGGAAUUCCGAGUGUAGAGGUGAAAUUCGUAGAUAUUCGGAGGAACACCAGUGGCGAAGGCGGCUCACUGGCUCGAUACUGACGCUGAGGUGCGAAAGCGUGGGGAGCAAACAGGAUUAGAUACCCCGGUAGUCCCAU